AGAGUUUGAUCCUGGCUCAGAACAAACGCUGGCGGCGUGUCUUAAGCAUGCAAGUCGAGCGGCAAGGGCAGCAAUGCCCCUAGAGCGGCGGACUGGUGAGUAACGCGUGGGUGAUCUACCUUUGGCAUGGGGAUAGCCAUUAGAAAUAGUGGGUAAUACCGAAUACGUUCGUCACCGUGAGGGUGACGAGGAAAGGUGCUACGGCACCGGCCGGAGAUGAGCCUGCGUCCGAUUAGCUAGUUGGUGAGGUAAAGGCCCACCAAGGCUAUGAUCGGUAGGCGGCCUGAGAGGGUGUACGCCCACAUUGGGACUGAGAUACGGCCCAAACUCCUACGGGAGGCAGCAGCUAAGAAUAUUCCGCAAUGGACGAAAGUCUGACGGAGCGACGCCGCGUGGAUGAUGAAGGCCGAAAGGUUGUAAAGUCCUUUUGCUGGGGAAGAAUAAGUCUGGGAGGGAAUGCCCGGAUGAUGACAUGAACCGGCGAAUAAGCCCCGGCUAGCUACGUGCCAGCAGCCGCGGU
rnacentral:rRNA from 1 species